rnacentral:rRNA from 1 species
UACGUAGGGUGCAAGCGUUAAUCGGAAUUACUGGGCGUAAAGCGUGCGCAGGCGGUUAUGCAAGACAGAGGUGAAAUCCCCGGGCUCAACCUGGGAACUGCCUUUGUGACUGCAUAGCUAGAGUACGGUGGAGGGGGAUGGAAUUCCGCGUGUAGCAGUGAAAUGCGUAGAUAUGCGGAGGAACACCGAUGGCGAAGGCAAUCCCCUGGACCUGUACUGACGCUCAUGCACGAAAGCGUGGGGAGCAAACAGG